GAUGAACGCUGGCGGCGUGCUUAACACAUGCAAGUCGAACGGAAAGGCCCAAGCUUGCUUGGGUACUCGAGUGGCGAACGGGUGAGUAACACGUGGGUGAUCUGCCCUGCACUUCGGGAUAAGCCUGGGAAACUGGGUCUAAUACCGGAUAGGACCACUUCUUGGAUGUUGUGGUGGAAAGUUUUUUCGGUGUGGGAUGAGCUCGCGGCCUAUCAGCUUGUUGGUGGGGUAAUGGCCUACCAAGGCGUCGACGGGUAGCCGGCCUGAGAGGGUGUACGGCCACAUUGGGACUGAGAUACGGCCAAGACUCCUACGGGAGGCAGCAGUGGGGAAUAUUGCACAAUGGGCGCAAGCCUGAUGCAGCGACGCCGCGUGGGGGAUGACGGCCUUCGGGUUGUAAACUCCUUUCGCUAGGGACGAAGCGUUUUGUGACGGUACCUGGAGAAGAAGCACCGGCUAACUAUGUG
rnacentral:rRNA from 1 species